ACGAACCGUGCGAACGUUGUUCGGAAUCACUGGGCUUAAAGGGCGCGUAGGCGGGCUGCCAAGUCUGGGGUGAAAUCCCACGGCUCAACCGUGGAACUGCCUCGGAUACUGGCGGUCUCGAGGGAGGUAGGGGCAUGCGGAACUGUGGGUGGAGCGGUGAAAUGCGUUGAUAUCCACAGGAACUCCGGUGGCGAAAGCGGCGUGCUGGACCUCUUCUGACGCUGAGGCGCGAAAGCUAGGGGAGCAAACGGGA
rnacentral:rRNA from 1 species